GAUGAACGCUGGCGGCGUGCCUAAUACAUGCAAGUCGAUCGAACAGACGAGGAGCUUGCUCCUCUGAUGUUAGCGGCGGACGGGUGAGUAACACGUGGAUAACCUACCUAUAAGACUGGGAUAACUUCGGGAAACCGGAGCUAAUACCGGAUAACAUGUUGAACCGCAUGGUUCAACAGUGAAAGACGGUCUUGCUGUCACUUAUAGAUGGAUCCGCGCCGCAUUAGCUAGUUGGUAAGGUAACGGCUUACCAAGGCAACGAUGCGUAGCCGACCUGAGAGGGUGAUCGGCCACACUGGAACUGAGACACGGUCCAGACUCCUACGGGAGGCAGCAGUAGGGAAUCUUCCGCAAUGGGCGAAAGCCUGACGGAGCAACGCCGCGUGAGUGAAGAAGGUCUUCGGAUCGUAAAACUCUGUUAUUAGGGAAGUACAAAUGUGUAAGUAACUAUGCACGUCUUGACGGUACCUAAUCAGAAAGCCACGGCUAACUACGUG
rnacentral:rRNA from 1 species